GGGGUGACACAGUGAAAGAGUGAGGAAGGGGGUGACCCAGUGAGGAAGGGGGUGACACAGUGACAGAGUGAGGGAGGGGUGACUAGUGACAGAGUGAAGGAGGUGGUGACUGUCACUAGUCACCCCAUCCUUCCCUCUGUCACUAAUCACCACCUCCCUCACUCUGUCACUAGUCACCCCUUCCCUCCCUCACUCUGUCACUAGUCACCCCCUCACUCUCUCUGUCACUAGUCACACCCUCUCUCACUCUGUCACUAAUCACACCC